ensembl:misc_RNA Metazoa_SRP Metazoan signal recognition particle RNA
GGUGGGCAUGGUGGUGUGUGUCUGUAGUCCUAGCUACUUGGGAGGCUAAGGCAGGAGGAUCCCUUGAGCCCAGGAAUUCAAGGAUGCAGUGAGAUAUGAUUGUGCCACUGCAUUCUAGCCUGGGCGACAGAGCAAGACUCUGUCUUUA